rnacentral:tRNA from 1 species
GCCCCUCUAGCUCAGUUGGCAGAGCAGCUGACUCUUAAUCAGCGGGUCAAAGGUUCGAGUCCUUUGGGGGGCA